rnacentral:rRNA from 1 species
UACAGAGGUCUCUAGCGUUGUUCGGAUUCAUUGGGCGUAAAGGGUGCGUAGGCGGCGCGGUAAGUCGGGGGUGAAAUCUCGGGGCUUAACUCCGAAACUGCAUUCGAUACUGCCGUGCUUGAGGACUGGAGAGGAGACUGGAAUUUACGGUGUAGCGGUGAAAUGCGUAGAUAUCGUAAGGAAGACCAGUGGCGAAGGCGGGUCUCUGGACAGUUACUGACGCUGAGGCACGAAGGCCAGGGGAGCAAACGGG